rnacentral:sRNA from 1 species
CCGGUCGCCAGAUGGGGCCGGUAGAGCCUAGGAGGCUUCAAGGCGAUCCUAGGCCUUGUUGCAAACCAUGUUGCUCAAAGGAGGAUAUGGCUAUGAGGA